CCUACGGGAGGCAGCAGUGGGGAAUUUUGGACAAUGGGGGCAACCCUGAUCCAGCAAUGCCGCGUGAGUGAAGAAGGCCCUCGGGUUGUAAAGCUCUUUUGUCAGGGAAGAAACGGUGGUUCCUAAUACGAGCUGCUAAUGACGGUACCUGAAGAAUAAGCACCGGCUAACUACGUGCCAGCAGCCGCGGUAAUACGUAGGGUGCAAGCGUUAAUCGGAAUUACUGGGCGUAAAGCGUGCGCAGGCGGUUAUAUAAGACAGAGGUGAAAUCCCCGGGCUCAACCUGGGAACUGCCUUUGUGACUGUAUGGCUAGAGUGUGUCAGAGGGGGGUAGAAUUCCACGUGUAGCAGUGAAAUGCGUAGAUAUGUGGAGGAAUACCGAUGGCGAAGGCAGCCCCCUGGGAUAACACUGACGCUCAUGCACGAAAGCGUGGGGAGCAAACGAGGAUUAGACUACCCUGGUACGUCCACGCCCUAAACGAUGUCUACUAGUUGUCGGUACUUAAUUGUCUUGUACGUCAGCUACGCGUGAGUAGACCGCCGNGGGAGGUACGGUCGGUCGAAGAAGUUAAACGUUAACGUAAAGUUAAGUUAGUAGCGNGNGAGACGCGACGACGACGACGACGGAGGAGGNGG
rnacentral:rRNA from 1 species